rnacentral:rRNA from 1 species
AGUAACGGCGAGUGAAGAGGGAAGAGCCCAAGAUUGAAAGCUGGCGUCUUCGGCGUCCGCAUUGUAAUCUCAAGAAGUGUUUUCCGCUUCGGACCAAGCCUAAGUCCCCUGGAAAGGGGCAUCAUAGAGGGUGAUAAUCCCGUACAUGGCUUGGAGCGCCCGUAGCUUUGUGAUACACUUUCUAAGAGUCGAGUUGUUUGGGAAUGCAGCUCAAAAUGGGUGGUAAAUGCCAUCUAAGGCUAAAUAUUGGGGAGAGACCGAUAGCGAACAAGUACAGUGAUGGAAAGAUGAAAAGAACUUUGAAAAGAGAGUUAAACAGUACGUGAAAUUGCCAAAAGGGAAGGGUAGGAGGUCAGAGAUGCGGCCUAGGAUUCAGCCUUGCUUUUGCUUGGUGUUUUUCCUAGAUUGCAGGCCAACGUCGGUUUUGGGCACUGGAGAAGGGUGGAAGGAACGUGGCACCUCUCGGGGUGUGUUAUAGCCUUCUACUGGAUACAGCGACCGAGACCGAGGACAGCAGCGUACUCGCAAGAGCGGGCCUUCGGGCACCUUUACGCUUAGG